rnacentral:lncRNA from 10 species
CGAGCUCACACAUGCUCACUCUGGUGCAACUGAAGGACUAUGGCUAUGGUAGCUGCCCAGGAAGACUGGCCAUCCGAUUCAUGCUUGUGCAGUCCUUGGACUUUUAGAUCUACCAGGAUCAUCACAUUUUGGAGUUCUCAGUCCUGUGUACAAAGUCCAACUAUCUGAGGCCACCAUGCACUUAGGAUGUCCAGGCCACCUGGAGAGGCUACCAGAUAUGUGUAUGAAGAAGUUGUCUUGAAAGUGGAUCUUCCAGCCCAUGUUAUUCUAGCUACAGCUGUUUGAGUCUCCUUGUACAAGCCCCAGACAUCAUGGAAUGGAGAAGAGCUGAGCCACGGUGUCCUCUCCAAAUUCUCAAUCCACAAAACUCAUGAAAAUAAUAAAAUGAUUGUGUCUUUGUGCUACUAAAUUUAGGGAAAUUUGUUAUUCAGCAAAGAUGAUUAGAACAAGAGACCACAAUUUGACUAUCAUAUUUCAGAAAUGACACAGAUCCAGAGAGGUUAAAUAAAUCAUUUUAUUCAAAUGAAGA